UGCGCAGGCGGUUUUGUAAGACAGACGUGAAAUCCCCGGGCUUAACCUGGGAACUGCGUUUGUGACUGCAAGGCUAGAGUAUGGCAGAGGGGGGUAGAAUUCCACGUGUAGCAGUGAAAUGCGUAGAGAUGUGGAGGAAUACCGAUGGCGAAGGCAGCCCCCUGGGUCAAUACUGACGCUCAUGCACGAAAGCGUGGGGAGCAAACAGGAUUAGAUACCCUGGUAGUCCACGCCCUAAACGAUGUCAACUAGGUGGUUGGGGGAGGAGACUUCCUUAGUACCGCAGCUAACGCGUGAAGUUGACCGCCUGGGGAGUACGGCCGCAAGGUUGAA
rnacentral:rRNA from 1 species